rnacentral:tRNA from 1 species
GCCGAAGUGGUGGAACUGGUAGACGCGCUGGACUCAAAAUCCAGUGGGCGCAAGCCCGUGUGGGUUCGACUCCCACCUUCGGCACCA